rnacentral:lncRNA from 1 species
GCUCCAUAAUCUAGGGGAGGGACAGUGUUAAAUGGUCCAACCCCAGAGUUUAGAGUUUGCCACAGACAUUUACAUCCUGAACCUGUGGAGUGGGGUCUAAGAUGGGCUGGGCUACAUAGGGUGGAGUAAGGUUCCUGAUUUCUGAAGGCAGAUCUCCCAGAAUAAUCUCCUGUAACAGACUAACCAUGAAGAAAGAUGAAAGGCAAGAUGAGUGAAUACAGGAAACUAAGGUCUGGAGGGGAGCUGUGCCUGUCUGAGACUGAAUUGAAAACUGUUUUCUAUUAAUGCUGCUUGUGGAAGAAGAGUUCUAGGUAACUAGAUGGUUUAAAUGUUUUUAACUGUAGUCAGAUUAGGGAAAGAGUGAAUCAAUCAACAAGCAUUUGUUUUAUUUUGAAUUUUAAGAUAUUUUAUUUUUUCCCAAUUACAUGUAAAGAUAAAUUUUAACAUUCAGCUUUUAAAAUUGAGUUCCAAAUUC